AAAAAAGGUAAGCUACUAAGAGCGAAUGGUGGAUGCCUUGACUGGUAGAGGCGAUGAAGGACGUACUAGACUGCGAUAAGCUACGGGGAGCUGUCAAGAAGCUUUGAUCCGUAGAUUUCCGAAUGGGGCAACCCAAUGUAUAGAGAUAUACAUUACCUAUAUAGGAGCGAACGAGGGGAAUUGAAACAUCUUAGUACCCUCAGGAAAAGAAAUCAAUAGAGAUUGCGUCAGUAGCGGCGAGCGAAAGCGCAAGAGGGCAAACCCAGUGCUUGCACUGGGGGUUGUAGGACUGCAAUGUGCAAGAGGUAAGUUUAGCAGAACAUUCUGGAAAGUAUAACCAUAGAGGGUGAUAGUCCCGUAUGCGAAAAACAAACCUUAGCUAGCAGUAUCCUGAGUAGGGCGGGACACGAGGAAUCCUGUCUGAAUCCGGGUCGACCACGAUCCAACCCUAAAUACUAAUACCAGAUCGAUAGUGCACAAGUACCGUGAGGGAAAGGUGAAAAGAACUGAGGUGAUCAGAGUGAAAUAGAACCUGAAACCAUUUGCUUACAAUCAUUCAGAGCACUAUGUAGCAAUACAGUGUGAUGGACUGCCUUUUGCAUAAUGAGCCUGCGAGUUGUGGUGUCUGGCAAGGUUAAGCAAACGCGAAGCCGUAGCGAAAGCGAGUCUGAAUAGGGCGCUUAGUCAGAUGCUGCAGACCCGAAACGAAGUGAUCUAUCCAUGAGCAAGUUGAAGCUAGUGUAAGAACUAGUGGAGGACUGAACCCAUAGGCGUUGAAAAGCCCCGGGAUGACUUGUGGAUAGGGGUGAAAGGCCAAUCAAACUUCGUGAUAGCUGGUUCUCUCCGAAAUAUAUUUAGGUAUAGCGUUGUGUCGUAAUAUAAGGGGGUAGAGCACUGAAUGGGCUAGGGCAUACACCAAUGUACCAAACCCUAUCAAACUCCGAAUACCUUAUAUGUAAUCACAGCAGUCAGGCGGCGAGUGAUAAAAUCCGUCGUCAAGAGGGAAACAACCCAGACUACCAGCUAAGGUCCCUAAAUCUUACUUAAGUGGAAAACGAUGUGAAGUUACUUAAACAACCAGGAGGUUGGCUUAGAAGCAGCCAUCCUUUAAAGAAAGCGUAAUAGCUCACUGGUCUAGUGAUUUUGCGCGGAAAAUAUAACGGGGCUAAAGUAAGUACCGAAGCUGUAGACUUGCACACAACUUAGAUUAUUUAAGUUUAGAAUAUGAGAAACUAAGUUAUAUGUUUAGUUAUAUUUUUACUGAUUUUUAUAGAGUAAAGAUAGAAAUAAAACUUAGUAAAAUCAGUAAAAAUAUUCUUAGACUAAAGUUAAGUAGUUUAAGUUGUGUGCAAGUGGUAGGAGAGCGUUCUAUUUGCGUCGAAGGUAUACCGGUAAGGAGUGCUGGAGCGAAUAGAAGUGAGCAUGCAGGCAUGAGUAGCGAUAAUUAAUGUGAGAAUCAUUAACGCCGUAAACCCAAGGUUUCCUACGCGAUGCUCGUCAUCGUAGGGUUAGUCGGGUCCUAAGUCGAGUCCGAAAGGGGUAGACGAUGGCAAAUUGGUUAAUAUUCCAAUACCAACAUUAGUGUGCGAUGGAAGGACGCUUAGGGCUAAGGGGGCUAGCGGAUGGAAGUGCUAGUCUAAGGUCGUAGGAGGUUGUACAGGCAAAUCCGUAUAACAAUACUCCGAGAACUGAAAGGCUUUUUGAAGUCUUCGGAUGGAUAGAAGAACCCCUGAUGCCGUCGAGCCAAGAAAAGUUUCUAAGUUUAGCUAAUGUUGCCCGUACCGUAAACCGACACAGGUGGGUGGGAUGAGUAUUCUAAGGCGCGUGGAAGAACUCUCUUUAAGGAACUCUGCAAAAUAGCACCGUAUCUUCGGUAUAAGGUGUGGUUAGCUUUGUAUUAGGAUUUACUCCGAAAGCAAGGAAACUUACAACAAAGAGUCCCUCCCGACUGUUUACCAAAAACACAGCACUCUGCUAACUCGUAAGAGGAUGUAUAGGGUGUGACGCCUGCCCGGUGCUCGAAGGUUAAUUGAUGGGGUUAGCAUUAGCGAAGCUCUUGAUCGAAGCCCGAGUAAACGGCGGCCGUAACUAUAACGGUCCUAAGGUAGCGAAAUUCCUUGUCGGUUAAAUACCGACCUGCAUGAAUGGCGUAACGAGAUGGGAGCUGUCUCAAAGAGGGAUCCAGUGAAAUUGUAGUGGAGGUGAAAAUUCCUCCUACCCGCGGCAAGACGGAAAGACCCCGUGGACCUUUACUACAGCUUGACACUGCUACUUGGAUAAGAAUGUGCAGGAUAGGUGGGAGGCUUUGAGUAUAUGACGCCAGUUGUAUAUGAGCCAUUGUUGAGAUACCACUCUUUCUUAUUUGGGUAGCUAACCAGCUUGAGUUAUCCUCAAGUGGGACAAUGUCUGGUGGGUAGUUUGACUGGGGCGGUCGCCUCCCAAAUAAUAACGGAGGCUUACAAAGGUUGGCUCAGAACGGUUGGAAAUCGUUCGUAGAGUAUAAAGGUAUAAGCCAGCUUAACUGCAAGACAUACAAGUCAAGCAGAGACGAAAGUCGGUCUUAGUGAUCCGGUGGUUCUGUGUGGAAGGGCCAUCGCUCAAAGGAUAAAAGGUACCCCGGGGAUAACAGGCUGAUCUCCCCCAAGAGCUCACAUCGACGGGGAGGUUUGGCACCUCGAUGUCGGCUCAUCGCAUCCUGGGGCUGGAGCAGGUCCCAAGGGUAUGGCUGUUCGCCAUUUAAAGCGGUACGCGAGCUGGGUUCAGAACGUCGUGAGACAGUUCGGUCCCUAUCUGCCGUGGGCGUAAGAAGAUUGAAGAGAUUUGACCCUAGUACGAGAGGACCGGGUUGAACAAACCACUGGUGUAGCUGUUGUUCUGCCAAGAGCAUCGCAGCGUAGCUAAGUUUGGAAAGGAUAAACGCUGAAAGCAUCUAAGCGUGAAGCCAACUCUAAGAUGAAUCUUCUCUAAGCUCUCUAGAAGACUACUAGUUUGAUAGGCUGGGUGUGUAAUGGAUGAAAGUCCUUUAGCUGACCAGUACUAAUAGAGCGUUUGGCUUAUCUUUAAUAAAGCAU
rnacentral:rRNA from 2 species